AUGUGGGAUCUUCCUGGACCAGGGCACAAACCCGUGUCCCCUGCAUCGGCAGGUAGCGAGGUGAAGCAGAAUCGGCACAGUCUCUCAGUGUCAUAACCGGACAUGGGGUUGACCAUUGUACCACCAACCAUAAUCACCUACAGGGCACUUUCAGGGCCCUCUGUGCGAUGAACUGGACCUGGCAGCACUGGCUGUUGCACGAUUGGGACUGAUGCCAUGAAAACAACUGCCAACAAAUCAAUUAGUUAUUGCAUCAAGGCUGCUAUUCACCACACAUGUGAGAUCUCUAAUGUCACAAGCAGUUAUUCUUGAGUGACUCCUGUUCUAGAUGCUGUCAAUGAAGAUGGUAUAGCCCAACGUUCAUACACCAUUGUAUCCCUACUGUAUCUUCUGUGUCUAGUGCUUUGUUUGCAAGAUUACUAAGAAUGCAAUAGGGCAAUCUUGACAAUUGUAGUAAAACUGACAAAAAUAUUUAGGCUCUGGAGUAAGAUUUGCCAAAUUCAGAACUGUUUCUAAAUCCUGCAUAUGUGGUUUUGACUUGAUUAGUUCAAUUCCCCAAGGCCGUUUCUUUUUCCAUAAAGUGAAGAUAAUAAAAGUCUUUACUUCACAGGCUCUUUUGAGAACUGAGUUAAGUAAUUCAUAUAUUUACCUUAGUAGGAUAUCACAUUGUGUUUAUUUGAAUAUGUUACUUUCAAUUAUGUUUUCUAGAGUAAAUUCCAUUGAAAAUAACAGAGUGGGAACAGGGGUUGCUCUGAAAGAGCAUAUGAUAUUCACACUUCUCUAGAUGCAAUUUCUAGGAUAAACCUUCUUCCUUUAUUGUGAUCUGGGGCUUUGCUACGUAAAGUGUGGUCCGUAGACCAGCAGCAUUGGCAUGGCCUGGGAGCUCGUGAAAAAUGAAGAAUCCUGGGUUCCACCCCAAACUAACUGAUUCAUAAUCUGUAUUUUAAUGAGAUCCCAAGCGAUUUGUGCGCACUUUAAAAUUUGAAAAGCUCUGGUCUAUACAGCUAAGGUCCUUACGUGUCCUUUUAGAUUUUCCUGAUCUUACGCCUAAUUUAAUCAUGUUUAUUAUACCUGUAUAUUUUUGUUAACCCAAAUGUUUACUUUUAAAAUUUCUGAAUUGCUAGACAAGUCUUUCAGAAUAAGUGACACUUUAUUGAUGCACGGUAUUUUAAUUUUUCUGGUACACACUCAGACCCCCAAAGCCAUAUUGAUGCUACGUCCCCUCCCUUUUCUCACCCCGAAACACCUUAAAGACUCUCAUCAUUUGAUUACUAGAUUUUGAUUUGCCUGUUUCUAGAGAAACUACUAAGACAUAUUGGGCAUUCCCUCUUCUGAUUCUGAAAUUGAAAUAACAUCUAUGUGGGGCUUAGUGAGAGAAAUUUAAGAAAGGCAUGGAUCAUUGGAUCAUUGCUUCAUUCCAUAAAUUACUUUUCUUGACUGUAUUAAAUUGUUGAUAGAUUUAAUUCUGCCUUGAAGAAAAUGUUUAGUUGAAAAAAAAAUGUUUCGAGACAAAUUUUGACCAUGCUUAAUAGAAGACAAAUGCAUUCAGAUAAAUUGAAAUUAAUUCAAAUUAAUCAUUUAAAAGUUCAGGUAAAGAUUUUUUUUAAAUGAUUGGUACAAGGUUCUGCUAAAUUUACAUAUUUUUUCCCUUUUAAAUAACACUUUCAAGUUACAUAUAGUCCUUUAACUUUUUUAUGUGUAACACUAUUAUUAUUUCCAAUUAAUGGGGAUAUUUUCCAUACCGAUUUUUUUUUUUUCACUUACUAUUCGACCACCAUCUCAUAACAAGGACAGCUUGCGAGUGCGUGUUAACAAAGUCAAACACUACAAAUGAACUUCACAGUUCUCUGCACUGCUCAUUCUCACCUCAUGAAUCCGAAAGUGUCUAUGAAUUUGAAAGAUUGCUGCUGGCGGAUGAUCUCACCUUCCACACUUCCAUAUUCUCUGGUUACGGUUUUUCUCCUGUAAAUGGCUCCCUAUACUUGGAGCUGCAGUGCCAGACUUUCUAGACAGGCAUAAAUUACUGCUGUGUCUCCCUUCCUCUUUUUCUUCAUUUAUAUUUCAUACUGUAUGACAAAGUGAAACAUUGAGUAACGGAUGGUGCUAAAGGACGGUGACUAUUUACUGUGUUUUUUUCGUGCUCUGGGCGUUUUAUAUGUCUGAAAUACCGAACUGUAUGAUACUAGAGAUCAAACAAGAGGACUUGAAAAUUUUCAUUUGUUGCAAGGAAGCUCUGGUUUUAUAAAGGCAGCUGCAAAUUAGACUUUAAUUGCUAACUGAAAGGAAUGGUUGCAAUAUGUUGUCGGGCAAAAUAUGAAAAAUACAGAAAGGUCAAAGUAGUAAAGUAUAUAUCCACUUACCUAGAGCACUGAAUCAUUCACUGAGCUGACAUUCCUGCUGUAAACUCACUCACUUUCAUAAAAGAUUUUUUUUCCGUUUUAGGAACAAGAGAGAUGUCUGUGUCAUGCCAGCCCUAAUACCUAACCCAUCUUAAUGGGAAGGGCAGCAGAGCAAAUACCUUUCUUUCUCUUACUUGGUUCAUUUUUAAUUUAUAGGCUUUAAAACUAUUUAUCAACUAACUUCCUUCCUCCCUUCCUUCCAUUCUCUUUUUUCCCAAUAAUCUUAAACUUUCUCCUGAGGGGAAUACCAGUUUUCUCCUCACUGUCCAUGUAGUACGUGCUCCCUACAAAUUCUUUAUUUUUACCCUAAAGAUAGAGGCUGUCUUAUUUUCUGAGACAGACUGGAUGCCAAUUUUUAAAAAUUUAAAACAACUAAUAGUGGUAAACUCUGUAAUUUCUCUCAAAAAAUUUUCCCCCAAAUUAGGGCUUGACGUUAUACUGGAAGUGAAAUGCUCAAGUUAAAAGAAGGAAGGAAAUGAAUAUUUAUUGAGGGUCUACUAUGUGCCAGAAGUUUUCCCUACAUGAUUUCUUUUAAUCCUCAUCACAGCACUGUGUGAGAGCUGUUAUUCUCUCUAAUUUGCAGUUUAACAACUGCAAUUCAGACAGUCAGGAGCUUGCCCAACAUCAUAUAGCUACUAAAUCUGUAUGACUCCAAAGUCUUUCCCACUUGAUUAUAUACCAGUGUCCUCUCCCUCAAUUUUGCAAAUGAGACCCAUGAGGAGCAAAGAGACUGGGGGCUUAAAUUGGUGUCUGAGUUUGAACUGGAUAAUAGGUUCUCUGUUCAUCCCACUGUGCCAUUGGCAAUACAAAGAUGGGGAAAAAACUUGUGCAACUGGCCCUAAAAUUAAAAUUCACAUUAAAAUAUCUGUAAGAAAAUUUACCAUGUUCAUUUUCUUGAGGGGUGGAAUCUAUUAAUAUAUUUCCUGUCUGUUACUGACAAUAAAAUCUCAUGUGAUUCC